GAUGAACGCUGGCGGCGUGCUUAACACAUGCAAGUCGAACGGAAAGGCUCCUGCUUGCAGGGGUACUCGAGUGGCGAACGGGUGAGUAACACGUGGGUGAUCUGCCCUGCACUUCGGGAUAAGCCUGGGAAACUGGGUCUAAUACCGGAUAGGACGAUGGUUUGGAUGCCAUUGUGGAAAGUUUUUCGGUGUGGGAUGAGCUCGCGGCCUAUCAGCUUGUUGGUGGGGUAAUGGCCUACCAAGGCGUCGACGGGUAGCCGGCCUGAGAGGGUGUACGGCCACAUGGGGACUGAGAUCGGGCCCGCACCCCCCGGGGGGGCAGGGGGGGGGAAGGUUGCACACGGGGGGAGGCCUUGAUGCAGCCGCGCCGGGGGGGGGAGCACGCCUUUGGGUGUAAAACCUCCUUCCUCCAGGCACGAAGCGCAGGGGAGGGUCCCUAGAAAAGAGACCCCGGCAAACUACGUC
rnacentral:rRNA from 1 species